rnacentral:snRNA from 1 species
AUAUCUUUCUUGGCUUUUGGCUAAGAUAAUGUGUAAUAUUUGUUCUCAUCAGUUUAAUAUCUAGUAUGCAGACUAUAUGUUUAGUCUAAUAUUAAAUUUAUUUUUAUAGAUAUAUUACAUGUCAUUGCAAAGCACGAUCA